rnacentral:misc_RNA from 1 species
CCAAUAGCGUAUAUUAAAGUUGUUGCAGUUAAAAAGCUCGUAGUUGAAUUUCGGGAUUGACGUGAUGGUCAUGCCUUAAGGGGUAUGAACUGUCACAGUUGAUUUCUCACCUUCUGGAGAAACUUGAUGUCCUUUAUUGGGUGUCUUGCGGAUCCAGGACCUUUACCUUGAAAAAAUUAGAGUGUUUAAAGCAGGCAUUUUUGCUCGAAUACAUUAGCAUGGAAUAAUAGAAUAGGACGGCAUGGUUCUAUUUUGUUGGUUUCUAGGAUCACCGUAAUGAUUAAUAGGGAUAGUUGGGGGCAUUAGUAUUCAAUUGUCAGAGGUGAAAUUCUUGGAUUUAUUGAAGACUAACUACUGCGAAAGCAUUUGCCAAGGAUGUUUUCAUUAAUCAAGAACGAAAGUUAGGGGAUCGAAGACGAUCAGAUACCGUCGUAGUCUUAACCAUAAACUAUGCCGACUAGGAAUCAGACGAUGUUAAUUUUUUAAUGACUCGUUUGGCACCUUACGGGAAACCAAAGUGUUGGGUC